GAGGGGGCGGUCCCACGCGUUUCAAGCCCAGCGACCCGAAAGACACGCCCCACACCCAAACGCAAGAGCGAUCCCGCCCUCCCAUUGGCUAAGGCGCCACCGUGACCCCGCCCCAGAGUACUACAGCAGGCGCUCAGGGGGCUGGGCCCGCCUCCGGGAAGGAGCCUUAAAGAACCAGCUGCCCGGUGGUGUCCGCGCCCAGUCCCCCAGAGUGGUCGUGCAGGUAUACGUUAGAAAUUUUAUUCUCUGGAGGUUGGGGCGGACUGAGAGCAGGUCUGGGGUCAUCCCUUCUCCGGCUCCUCCUGGUUGCCUUCUCGGAUCGGACUCUCCUGCUUCCGAAUCUGGUCUGGUUGCCUCUUGCUUGGCCGCGAGGAGCCCCGACGACCGAACGUGGAUAGUCGCCGCCACAGCACGGGAGGUCCUCACAUCUAUGCCCUUGGCUCCCACAUUCCCGGGCCCAACUGCUCACCUCCCAGUUGUCCCUGCCUGACAAGAGGAGGCAGUUCAAUUGAGACUUGAGAUAAACCUGCAAAAGAUGAGGGACCUUAAGGAGCCAGGCAUGCUGAGACAGAAACAUGAACGGAGGGCACAGGAGGCGGGGCCUCCACAAGACCAUGAGUUGGAGGUGGGAGAGACAACUUACCUUAUGCUCCAGACCCCGUGGAUUCUGGAUCCUGUGUAUCCUCAAGACUCUGUCCAAGCCACAGGAGGCUAGUAGAGGCUUUGAAGGGUGGCACUGCAACCCACGCACACUGCCUGCCAGCCCCUUCAGACAGCCCAGUAGACGCCCUAGAGAAGGGGGGAAGCAUCCGUGAUAACUGGCUGGCCAAUAACCAACCAUUCAUUGUUUCCUGUUCCAAUCACUUUCCAUUUCAACAUUUAAUCUGCAACAAAACCCUGAGACUGGAGCUUCUACUAAUAUUUCCAUUUCGCAGGUAUGAACUACAUAAGGCAGAAACCCAGGUCCCUGUCACCCAUUCAAAGCCGUGUCACUAAGAGUUUGCCUGUCGCCAUCAUUCCAGUAUCCUCAGGGAGCAUCAACGCUCUCCCUUCGGCCCUGAGUUUAGCGAGGGGAUUGGUCU
rnacentral:lncRNA from 1 species